rnacentral:rRNA from 1 species
UACGUAGGGUGCGAGCGUUGUCCGGAAUUAUUGGGCGUAAAGAGCUCGUAGGCGGUCUGUCGCGUCUGCUGUGAAAUCCCGAGGCUCAACCUCGGGCUUGCAGUGGGUACGGGCAGGCUAGAGUGCGGUAGGGGAGAAUGGAACUCCUGGUGUAGCGGUGGAAUGCGCAGAUAUCAGGAGGAACACCAAUGGCGAAGGCAGCACUCUGGGACGUGACUGACGAUGAGACGCGAAAGCGUGGGGAGCAAACAGG